UGUCCUCACCAAACUGUGAACCAACAAAGCAUACUUUUGCCUUGUAAAAGCAAUUUCCACGUUACGCCCUGAGGGAAUCCUUUCACAUUUGGCACAAACACACAAUUACAGUCAAGGAGUAUCUGAUUGGAUUUGGUAGCCAAAGGUCAAAGGUCAAGGUCACAGUGGCCUCACAAAACACGAAUCUUGGCCUCUUUAAAGUAAUUUUACAAAACCGCCUCUAGAGAGAUUCCUCAACUUUCGAUGAUAACUCAAAGAUGUGAAGUGAUUAGAUAUCAGUGGUCAAAGGUCACAGUGGCCUCAUCAGACUCUUGGUUGAUGGAGGUAAACUAAAAAAAAUUCUAGUUCAGUCUUAAAUAAAUAUCUGCACACAGAAUAAAGUUGAAACUAAUUCUACAGGUUCACAACUCAGUGUCUAUGUGAUGCUCUCUCUCUUCUGACCACAGGAGACUAUCUGGAGAACCUGAGGUUCCUCGUUGUUGCUCUACUUCUCCUGAUGAUUAUCAGUGUAAUUGUUGUAAAUUUAAGAUACUGGAGGAAAUCGGUUCUACAAGGAAAAACAAACAUCAAAUCCCCUUCUGGUUUAUCGAAUGAACCAGAGAGCCUGCAGGACUAUGGAAACAUUAGUAAUGCAGCUGCACGCGCACCAACAUCUCCAAAUCUCUUUGACGACCACACCAGUGAAGGUGAAGUGGAGCUGAACUUUCCAAAAGUGAGAUUCACAGCGACGCCCCGACGUCAGACGACCAACAGAGACUCCAGCAGCUCACACCAAGAUGAGAGUCUUUACUCUAACGUCAGGAUUUGACCUGAGAUGUUCUCGUCCUGCUUUUUACAGCUACCUCGGGCCUGAGGAAGUUUAUAUUCACAAUAAGUCAUCACAGAGAGUCUGAAGAGUUCAUGUGUUAAGCAAAAUAGGUCAUAGCCGUAAAUCUACAUUAAUGUAAGCUGUUCAACAAACCUUCUGCAGCUACAACAAAACCAUGCGUGUUUCCAUUAGAAGUAUUUUAAAAGUAGUUAGCAAGAAGACACAGAAGUUACAUUACUGAGCUAAAAUUUUAUAUAUGAAUAUUUACAACUGUUAAUUAAAGGUUUUUGGGAAAAUAGUGAACUUAGAAAAAUAUGAGGGAUAAACGGUUAAAAUCCUUAUUUUGCAACUUAAAAUGUAAAUAGUGUGAAUGAAAAGUGAUUGUUUUAAUAACAUUUUAUAUAAUCUAAAUAUAUAUGAUCUGCAGUUAGACAGGAAAUGCUGAGAAUCACUGCUGAAUGUUGUUUUUGACCUUUCAAGUGUUGUGAACUUAAUCCAAACCCACACUCCUGAAAUGUAAAUAUC